AUACGGAGGGUGCGAGCGUUAAUCGGAAUUACUGGGCGUAAAGCGCGCGUAGGCGGCUUGGUCAGUCGGAUGUGAAAGCCCCGGGCUUAACCUGGGAACUGCAUUCGAUACUGCCAGGCUAGAGUAUGGUAGAGGGAAGCGGAAUUUCCGGUGUAGCGGUGAAAUGCGUAGAUAUCGGAAGGAACACCAGUGGCGGAGGCGGCUUCCUGGACCAAUACUGACGCUGAGGUGCGAAAGCGUGGGGAGCAAACAGGAUUAGAAACCCUAGUAGUCC
rnacentral:rRNA from 1 species